AGGAAGAAUCCACCAUCAGUAACUAUGCAGCAGGACCUGAGGCCUUUAAUGGUCAGCUGCUGAACAUCGACAAGCUGCGAUCUGCUUUUAAAAAUGAUGAAUUCCUGAACUGGCAUGCCCUCUUUGAGUCUAUCAAAAAGAAACUUCCUUUCCUCAACUGGGAUGCAUUUCCUAAGCUGAAAGGACUGAGGAGUGCAAUUCCUGAUGCCCAGUGACCAUUCAAGACACAGCACUGCUGACUCCCCUUGGAAGAGGGAUCUGGAUCCCAGCCUGUGAUGACUCUUGUCUAUUUCCGUAACUCCAAUAAAAAGUUUUCC